rnacentral:rRNA from 1 species
UACAGAGGGGGCAAGCGUUGUUCGGAAUUACUGGGCGUAAAGGGCGCGUAGGCGGCCUGCUAAGUCGAACGUGAAAUCCCUGGGCUUAACCCAGGAACUGCGUCCGAUACUGGUUGGCUUGAAUCCGGGAGAGGGAUGUGGAAUUCCAGGUGUAGCGGUGAAAUGCGUAGAUAUCUGGAGGAACACCGGUGGCGAAGGCGACAUCCUGGACCGGCAUUGACGCUGAGGCGCGAAAGCCAGGGGAGCAAACGGG